rnacentral:rRNA from 1 species
AAAUUGAAGAGUUUGAUCAUGGCUCAGAUUGAACGCUGGCGGCAGGCCUAACACAUGCAAGUCGAACGGUAACAGGAAACAGCUUGCUGUUUCGCUGACGAGUGGCGGACGGGUGAGUAAUGUCUGGGAAACUGCCUGAUGGAGGGGGAUAACUACUGGAAACGGUAGCUAAUACCGCAUAACGUCGCAAGACCAAAGAGGGGGACCUUCGGGCCUCUUGCCAUCGGAUGUGCCCAGAUGGGAUUAGCUUGUUGGUGGGGUAACGGCUCACCAAGGCGACGAUCCCUAGCUGGUCUGAGAGGAUGACCAGCCACACUGGAACUGAGACACGGUCCAGACUCCUACGGGAGGCAGCAGUGGGGAAUAUUGCACAAUGGGCGCAAGCCUGAUGCAGCCAUGCCGCGUGUAUGAAGAAGGCCUUCGGGUUGUAAAGUACUUUCAGCGGGGAGGAAGGGAGUAAAGUUAAUACCUUUGCUCAUUGACGUUACCCGCAG